rnacentral:rRNA from 1 species
GACGAACGCUGGCGGCGUGCUUAACACAUGCAAGUCGAACGGUGAAGGUGGAGCUUGCUCCGCCGGAUCAGUGGCGAACGGGUGAGUAACACGUGGGCAACCUGCCCCUCACUUCGGGAUAACUCCGGGAAACCGGGGCUAAUACCGGAUACGACCCCCUUGGGCAUCCUUGGAGGUGGAAAGUUUUUCGGUGAGGGAUGGGCCCGCGGCCUAUCAGCUUGUUGGUGAGGUAGUGGCUCACCAAGGCGACGACGGGUAGCCGGCCUGAGAGGGCGACCGGCCACACUGGGACUGAGACACGGCCCAGACUCCUACGGGAGGCAGCAGUGGGGAAUAUUGCGCAAUGGGCGAAAGCCUGACGCAGCAACGCCGCGUGCGGGAUGAAGGCCUUCGGGUUGUAAACCGCUUUCAGCAGGGAAGAAGCCGCAAGGUGACGGUACCUGCAGAAGAAGCACCGGCUAACUACGUGCCAGCCGCCGCGGUAA